rnacentral:rRNA from 1 species
CUUGGGUACUCGAGUGGCGAACGGGUGAGUAACACGUGGGUGAUCUGCCCUGCACUUCGGGAUAAGCCUGGGAAACUGGGUCUAAUACCGGAUAGGACGAUGGUUUGGAUGCCAUUGUGGAAAGUUUUUCGGUGUGGGAUGAGCUCGCGGCCUAUCAGCUUGUCGGUGGGGUAAUGGCCUACCAAGGCGUCGACGGGUAGCCGGCCUGAGAGGGUGUACGGCCACAUUGGGACUGAGAUACGGCCCAG